UACGAAGGGGGCUAGCGUUGCUCGGAAUCACUGGGCGUAAAGGGUGCGUAGGCGGCCUUGUAAGUCAGGGGUGAAAGACGGUAGCUUAACUAUCGCAGUGCCUUUGAUACUGCAGGGCUUGAAUGUACUUGAGGUAGGCGGAAUGUGACAAGUAGCGGUGAAAUGCAUAGAUAUGUCACAGAACACCAAUUGCGAAGGCAGCUUACUAAAGUAUGAUUGACGCUGAGGCACGAAAGCGUGGGGAUCAAACAGG
rnacentral:rRNA from 1 species